CAGCCGUAGGCCUACCAUGCAGUCGACGGUAGCACAGAGAGCUUGCUCUCGGGUGACGAGUGGCGGACGGGUGAGUAAUGUCUGGGAAACUGCCUGAUGGAGGGGGAUAACUACUGGAAACGGUAGCUAAUACCGCAUAACGUCGCAAGACCAAAGAGGGGGACCUUCGGGCCUCUUGCCAUCAGAUGUGCCCAGAUGGGAUUAGCUAGUAGGCGGGGUAAUGGCCCACCUAGGCGACGAUCCCUAGCUGGUCUGAGAGGAUGACCAGCCACACUGGAACUGAGACACGGUCCAGACUCCUACGGGAGGCAGCAGUGGGGAAUAUUGCACAAUGGGCGCAAGCCUGAUGCAGCCAUGCCGCGUGUGUGAAGAAGGCCUUCGGGUUGUAAAGCACUUUCAGCGGGGAGGAAGGCGGUACGGUUAAUAACCGUGCCGAUUGACGUUACCCGCAGAAGAAGCACCGGCUAACUCCGUGCCAGCAGCCGCGGUAAUACGGAGGGUGCAAGCGUUAAUCGGAAUUACUGGGCGUAAAGCGCACGCAGGCGGUCUGUCAAGUCGGAUGUGAAAUCCCCGGGCUCAACCUGGGAACUGCAUUCGAAACUGGCAGGCUGGAGUCUCGUAGAGGGAGGUAGAAUUCCAGGUGUAGCGGUGAAAUGCGUAGAGAUCUGGAGGAAUACCGGUGGCGAAGGCGGCCUCCUGGACAAAACUGACGCUCACGUGCCAAAGCGUGGGGAGCAAACAAGAUUAAAUACCCUGGUAGUCCACGCCGUAAACGAUGUCGAUUUGGAGGUUGUGCCCUUGAGGCGUGGCUUCCGGAGCUAACGCGUUAAAUCGACCGCCUGGGGAGUAACGCCGCAAGGUUAAAACUCAAAUGAAAUUAAGGGGGCCCGCACAAGCGGUGGGAGCAUGUGGUAUACUUCGAUGGACGGGAAAACCUUACCUAGGUUUUGACAUCCCCAUGAAUCCUSGGCAUCAGAUGCCUGGGAUGCCUUCGGGACUUGGAAAACAAGUGCUGGCAUGGCUGUUGUUCAGCUCCGUGCAUGUGAAAUUGUCGUCUUAUGUCCGCAACCGAAGGGCCAUAAUCCUUUUAUUC
rnacentral:rRNA from 1 species